CAGGCAGCCGGCUGGGUGGUUUUGCCCUGGGCAGGCAGUGAAGGAAGAUGGUGUUCCUUGCAGAAGUGCAGAAGUUCCAAAACCUGUCCCCUAUUAUGCAGUGCAAACGAGAACAGAUGGGGAAAAGUUAUGUUGGAAAGGGCUUUGGAGGGCCACCGAGAAGAGAAAUAUGACUACUCAAUGUGUCACACACCAACCUGCAGCUGCCACCAGUCCUUCCACACCACGCGCCGCGUAUGGAGCCAGCCCGCGGUGCUCGCACGGAGCCCGGGGAGGGGACACAAUUAGAGCACAGUCGCUUUUCUUGGGGUUCCUUGAAAAUAUGAAUAAAGAGUACAGUGGCAGCAGAGCCAACAAAAGAGAAAUGCAAAGGCCAGCCUGGAAAACGGUAUUACUCUUCUAGAAAAGUCAUCGUAGCUUCAGUGCAUGAUGUGGCCUACCAGCAUGUGUUUGUCAGUACUCAUAGGGUGCUUAUGGAUUCACUGAAUACUUCAAGGGCAAGGAGGCCACUGAUCUGGUUUCAGAUGGCAAGUCUGCCAGUUACAAGCUGUGAGACCUCAGCGCGUGUAUGCAAAGACUUUCUGUCACAGAACACUGCUCGCCUUCCAAGGGUAGUUCAUAAAUUACCUAGAUCAGAAUCUCUAUGGGAGGGUGUUAAGAUGCAAUUUCCUGGGCUCACCUCAGACUAUAUUUUCAAUGUCUCUAAGGUAUGAAGUUUGGAGAUCCUUGUUUUAAAUUAAAAUGAUGGGGAUCCUUAAACACACUGAGGUUUGAGACCCACUUCCUUAAGGAGUGGGGACAGUGAUCAUUCUCAUUUUGAGUCAUUUCGAGCUUACCUUCCCUCUCCCGACACACACGGGCCCAGAACUGCAGCAGCAGCUUAUGAAACAGAGGUUUGGGUCUGGUCAUUCUAGCUUCUCCUCUCCACAUCCUCUCUUUUAUUGUUUUUCAUAUGGUUUAGUUAAGGCUGAACUAACCGUCCUCUUUGUCCAUAGGAGACAUUAGCUUGGUUAUACUUUGUCCUGAGAGAAUGGCCAUGUGUCCCAGGUUGCCUGAGACAGUCCUGGGCUGCCUGGCAUAGGUAUUACCAGCACUCUUUUCAUUAUCCAAAGUGUCCCAGUUUGGAUGGUUAAUUAUAUCAUUAUCUUAAGUCUAUGGAACUUUGAUUGGCAUAUGUAGGACAUGAGUAAGGACUGGCAAAAUGUCUCAGAUAAGUUAUUCAAUAGUGUAGGAGGUGCACUAGGCUGAAGUGACAUAAGAAUGAUCAAAGAAAAUCAUACCAUUUCAAGUUGUUCCAUAAACUGGUGUCCAGAAGGGAAGGGUGUAAAACAACUCGGAAUUCUAGACUGGUUAGUAUCUCCCCACUCACCCAAGCAGCUGAGCAAAAGCAUAGAUCUUGGCACCGUCUAGAGCUAGAUAUUUUCUGCCUUUCUGCUUACUGGCUGUGAUCUUGGGCAAGUUAUUCAAUGUCUCUGAAGCUCAAUGUACUCGUGUGUAAAAAAAGAUACUAAGGCUUACUUCAGUUGUGAGGAUUUAAUGAAAUGAGGAUUUAAUGUGUAUAAACACCAGGCAGUGUGGUUAGGGGCUCAGUAAUGCCCAUUCUGCCAUUAUUCUUUCUAUCACGGCCACUCUGCACUGUAUUUCCACUGAAUACAGAUAACUUUUAAAAUAAAGGGUCCUUCAAGAGGAGUCAUGAGGAAGCAGUGGAUAUGGGAGUAGAUUCUAGGAUAGAAAACUUUCUUUCCUCUUUCCUUCCCUUUCUUCCUUCCUGUUUAUCAUUAUCAUUAUUAUUAUUAUUAUUAUUAUUAUUAUUAUCAUUUUUACAAACUCAAAGUCACAAACUCUUUUUGGGAUGGAAAAGAAAGUAAAGGGCUAAAGGGACAAGUAGUGCUGCAAGAACAAUAAAGAAAGGCAUAAUUGUAAUCCUAGGUGAGUGGAAAGAAAAGAAGAAAUAAAGGAAAGGAGGAAGAGAAGAAGGAAGGAAGGAAGGGGAAAGAAAAAAAAAAGAAGGAAAAAAGUAAGGGAUAGAAAGAAGAAGAAAAGGGGUGAUGAAAUGUGAUCUC